rnacentral:rRNA from 1 species
GGAGAUCACUGCUAUUGGAAUUCGGUUAAGGCAUGCGAGUCGAGAGGGUACGGCCCUCGGCAAACGGCUCAGUAACACGUGGACAAUCUGCCCUUAGGUGGGGGAUAAUCUCGAGAAAUUGAGCAUAAUACCCCAUAGCUCUAGGAUGCUGGAAUGCUUCUAGAGUAAAAGCCCCGGCGCCUAAGGAUGAGUCUGCGGCCUAUCAGGUUGUAGUGAGUGUAACGGACUCACUAGCCGACGACGGGUACGGGUCCUGGAAGGGAGAGCCCGGAGAUGGACUCUGAGACACGAGUCCAGGCCCUACGGGGCGCAGCAGCUACGAAAACUUCACAAUGCGGGAAACCGUGAUGAGGGAAUUCCAAGUGCUAAUACUUUGUAUUAGCUGUUUACUUGCCUAAAAAGCAGGUAGAGUAAGGGCUGGGCAAGACUGGUGCCAGCCGCCGCGGUAAUACCAGCAGCCCGAGUGGUGAUCGUUAUUAUUGGGCCUAAAGCGUCCGUAGCCGGCUUGNUAAACCCUUGGGUAAAUCGGGCAGCUUAACUGUCCGACUUCUGAGGAGACUGCCAGGCUUGGGACCGGGAGAGGUCAGAGGUACUUCUAGGGUAGAGGUGAAAUUCUGUAAU